UUAAUCAAUCACUUUAAAUGAUGGCAGGUGUGUAAUGAAUGUGAUUGGUUAAUUCUGAACACAGCAACAUCCCCAGUUAUAAGAGGGUGUGCACACUUACACAACCAGAUUAUUGUAAGGCUUUUAUUUUUCAUUUUUCCCCCUCGAAGAUUUCAGUUUUUUUUUCAAUUGAAUUGUUCACAUUAUUGGUCACAUUAUUAAACGUGGAAAAAGUUCUGACAUAAUUUAUCUUCGUCUCAUUCUUUUACAUUACAAAAACCUGGCAUUUUAACAUACUUUUUAUAUCCAUUGUACAUGCAUAACUAAAUUAUGCUUUUAAUAUUCAUAAACAUUUUUUAAAUAAACAAUCAAUACAUCCCACCAAGACCUGUAAAUGAACAGUAACAUGUACAUAUGUCGACAUGUGAGUUGAUUUGGUAAUUUGCCACAGGAAAUACGCAAAUGUAAGCACUUUUACAAUCUCACUGACCUGUUCAAAGACCCAUUUACUGUCAAAUAUUAUCAGUGACGCACACUUUAUCACACCACUCAGAACACUACUCCUAAGUCCUAAAUGGCUAAUUAUUCCAGAUUUAGUGCAUUAUAUAGGGAAUAGUGUGCUAUUUGGAACACAAAGUAUAUCAGCCAAUGGCUUUGAGGCACUGGGCAAGGUAACAAAAGAUUUGCCUGACUGAUGUUCAAAAUAUCAAACGGCGACUGAAGUAGAUGUAUUGCUAAUAAAGAUGCUGUAAAAGUGAUGUGAAAUAGAAGACACCAUGACAAGGAGGAAAUUAGGAAUAACAACAGCUAGGAUUCCACGUUACGGCACGCAGCCUAGGAAUGUAGCCUGGGACAUGUUGGGACAAGUUGGAAUGAGUGAGACCCACAGCUGCUUUAUAUCUGAAGGAAUGUGAACUUUUGGAGAGGACUUAGUCCCAGAUCAGUUGUUAAAUAUAGAGUACCUAUACAAUACCUGAAUAACUGUUUAACUGAAUAAUGUGUGAGGGCCCUAACAUGACACCAGCUUCUGGUGGACAUACAUUUGCAAAACGCAACAAUACGCACUAUAUAAAAAAAUGGUUUAAUGCAGAAUUCUGUCAACAAUCUACUUAAACAUGGAAAUCAAUUCAUUUUUGUUUCAACAUCUUCAUAAACACUUGUGAGCAGACCAUUUCUAUCGAUAACAAUAUAUCCAGUCCAAUGUACAUUGCAUUUCUAUCACAGGCCCCAGUUAAAGGAUUCACCCUUGACAUACACAGAAGAAGAUAUAUCGGGCAGACAUUUACCAAUGUCAUUCAUGGAAGUGGAGGAGGCGGGGGUGGUGGGGGCACCUUAGUGGAGGCACCAGGGAGAGGUGGAGGAGGAGGGGGGGGAGGGGGAGCAUUACCUGUUGUACCAGGUGGAGGUGGAGGAGGAGAGGGGAACCUAUUUGAAGGGCUGGUAGGAGGAGGUGGAGGAGUAGGUGGUUCAUCACCCAUUGAAAAGGGUGGAGGUGGGAAGCUGUUUGAAGUACUGGGGGGAGGUGGAGGAGGACAAACACUAUUCAUUGAGCCAGGUGGAGGAGGAGGUGGAGGAGGUGGAGCAGCCCCCAUUGAGCCAGGUGGAGGAGGAGGCGGAGGGGGAGGGAGAACAUUAGGGGAUGUAUGGUUGGGGGGAAGAGGAGGGGGGGGCGGGAGGUUGUUAGACAUGGCCAUGGAAGGUGAAGGAGGAGGAAGAUCAGAGUCCAUGGAGUCAGGUGGAGGAAGACUGGAAUCAAACAUGGAUGAAGGACGGGGUGCUGGGACAUCUUGGGUGAGGUUCGGGAAGGUGGGCACUAACGGUACAGCCACAUUAAAGCCAAGAUUUGACCUAGGUAGAAUGAGAAGAUUCAGCUGAAUUCAUAUGUAGUACAUUGAUAGCAAUGUUUCUACCCACUUCAGAAUCCCCUUCUCUUUGAAACAGUUUAAGCCAUGUGGUUCUCAUAUGUAGACAUUACUUGUAAAGUUGUAAUUAGGGCAAUGGGUAGAUUUACAUUACUUGUAACUGAGGCUUCACUAGAUUUAGAUCACUUGUAAUUGGGGCAUAAAUACAUUUACAUUUCUUGAAAUUAGGACAUUAGUAGUUUACAUUACUUUUAAUAAGGGAAUUAGUAGAUUUACAUGAAAUUAGGGGCAUUAGUAGAUUUACAUUACUUGAAAAUAGUGUGUUAAUAGGUUUCAUAAUGAAAGGAUGUUAACUGAUCCUACCACUCUAGCCAACCAGUGCGUACCUAUAGAGAUCACUUUUGACAUUGGUGAAAGUGGGUUCCCCGGGCUGCUCCACAGGGCCAUUGCUUCCUGUA
ensembl:lncRNA